rnacentral:rRNA from 1 species
UACAGAGGGGGCAAGCGUUGUCCGGAAUUACUGGGCGUACAGCGCGCGCAGGCGGACCGCCACGUGCCGUGUGACAAGCCACUGCUCAACAGUGGAGGGCCAGGGUACACGAGCGGUCUGGAGGCAGGGAGAGGGAUGUGGAAUGCCCGGUGGAGCGGUGAAAUGCGUAGAGAUCGGGCGGAACACCAGCGGCGAAGGCGGCAUCCUGGUCCUGUUCUGACGCUGAGGUGCGAAAGCGUGGGGAGCAAACAGG